UCAUCUCUCCUUUAUUAUUUGUUUGGUCACUUUUAAUAGUCGAGAUGUUUGCGCUUUUUU
rnacentral:sRNA from 1 species